rnacentral:rRNA from 1 species
GAUGAACGCUAGCGAUAGGCUUAACACAUGCAAGUCGAGGGGCAGCACAAGGUAGCUUGCUAUCUGGGUGGCGACCGGCGCACGGGUGCGUAACGCGUAUGCAACUUGCCCUAUACAGGAGGAUAACCCGUCGAAAGACGGACUAAUACUGCGUAUGCUCACAACUUGGCAUCUAGUGGUGAGGAAAGAAAUUCGGUAUAGGAUAGGCAUGCGUCCCAUUAGCUUGUUGGUGAGGUAACGGCUCACCAAGGCAACGAUGGGUAGGGGAACUGAGAGGUUUAUCCCCCACACUGGUACUGAGACACAGACCAGACUCCUACGGGAGGCAGCAGUGAGGAAUAUUGGGCAAUGGGCGCGAGCCUGAACCAGCCAAGUCGCGUGAAGGAUGACUGUCUUAGGGAUGGUAAACUUCUUUUAUACGGGAAUAGCAAGAGUAACGUGUGACUCCCUGCAUGUACCGUAUGAAUAAGCAUCGGCUAACUCCGUG